rnacentral:rRNA from 1 species
GAGUUUGAUCGUGGCUCAGGAUGAACGCUGGCUGUGUGCCUAAUACAUGCAUGUCGAACGAAGCACUUGUGCUUAGUGGCAAAUGGGUGAGUAACACGUACUUAAUCUACCUUUGAGAUUGGAAUAACAUUUGGAAACAACUGCUAAUACCAAAUAUGUAAUCAUUUCGCAUGAAUUGAUUAUAAAAGAAGCGUUUGCUUCGCUUAAAGAUGAGAGUGCGUUACAUUAGAUAGUUGGUAAGGUAAUGGCUUACCAAGUCAAUGAUGUAUAGCGGGUCGAGAGGCUGAACCGCCACACUGGGACUGAGAUACGGCCCAGACUCCUACGGGAGGCAGCAGUAGGGAAUAUUCCACAAUGAACGAAAGUUUGA